rnacentral:rRNA from 1 species
GAUGAACGCUGGCGGCGUGCCUAAUACAUGCAAGUCGAGCGAACGGACGCGACGCUUGCUUCUCUGAUGUUAGCGGCGGACGGGUGAGUAACACGUGGAUAACCUACCUAUAAGACUGGGAUAACUUCGGGAAACCGGAGCUUACACCGGAUAAUAUUUUGCACCGCAUGGUUCAAAAGUGAGAGACGGUCUUGCUGUCACUUAUAGAGGGAUCCGCGCUGCAUUAGCUAGUUGGUAAGGUAACGGCUUACCAAGGCAAGGAUGCAUAGCCGACCGGAGAGGGUGAUAGGCCACCUGGGAACGGAGACACGGUCCAGACUCCUACGGGAGGCAGCAGUAGGGAAUCUUCCGCAAUGGGCGGAAGCCUGACGGAGCAACGCCGCGUGAGUGAUGAAGGUCUUCGGAUCGUGAAACUCUGUUAUUAGGGAAGAACAUAUGUGUAAGUAACUGUGCACAUCUUGACGGUACCUAAUCAGAAAGCCACGGCUAACUACGUG